GUGUCAGCAGCCGCGGUAAUACGUAGGGGGCGAGCGUUGUCCGGAAUUACUGGGCGUAAAGGGUGCGUAGGCGGCCUGAUAAGUCAGAUGUGAAAUCCCACGGCUUAACCGUGGGGGUGCAUUUGAAACUGUUGGGCUUGAGUGCAGGAGAGGAAAGCGGAAUUCCUAGUGUAGCGGUGAAAUGCGUAGAGAUUAGGAGGAACACUAGUGGCGAAGGCGGCUUUCUGGACUGUAACUGACGCUGAGGCACGAAAGCGUGGGUAGCGAACAGGAUUAGAUACCCUGGUAGUCCACGCCGUAAACGAUGGAUACUAGGUGUAGGAGGUAUCGACCCCUUCUGUGCCGUAGUUAACGCAUUAAGUACCCCGCCUGGGGAGUACGUGCGCAAGCAUGAAACUCAAAUGAAUUGGCGG
rnacentral:rRNA from 1 species